UUGGUUUGGGUAUCAUUUCUUCUUCAGUGUUUCAUUCUUCUUCAGUAUUCAGUCCUCCAUUUUUUUCAUGAGUAUUCUUUUCUAUGUCUAUGGGAUAGAACGCAACAAGUAGUCAUACGAGACUAUCUUCGGUUUGAUUUACUUUGUUCAGUUUAUCCUUGUUACUGUUAAGUUUGCGGUGGUUCAGUUUCUACGGUUUAGCCUUUAACUUUAGUUAGUACAGUUCUCUCAGUCAUGUUUUAUCUGGUUCAGUUAUCAUUUAUUUCUUCAGUUAUUCAUUAUUCCUUAGUAUUACAUAUUUUCCCAUUCUUUGAGCUUACAUCAUUGUCUGAUCCCUCAGUCUCCACAGUUUUCUUUAGUACAAUUUUCAGUACUUAUCAUCUACUCCCUCCGUCUCAUUAUGGGUCGGAGGAGUACCAUUUUUCCAGUUUCUGUUUCUUCAAUCUCGUAAGUUUCUUCUUCAUUUUGUUUCUUCAUUAUAUACUUCUUCAAUCUACUUUUCAAGUCUCCCCUUGUGACUUUUCAUUCUAAUCCUUCUGUUUUGGGUCUCGGUAUUUUUUGUCCGUUUUCAUUGUCUUUCGGCAUUCUUCCCUUGUCAAUCCAUGCUGGUGUCGUAUGGACUUUGCGCAGAGAAACAAGUGAGCAACACAUCUGUUUUAUUUCGUCUAUAACAUCUUUUCCAUUUAUUUAGUUGAUUUUUUUGGUUCUCUUCUUUUGUUCGGAUGUUGAUUAGUGAUUACUCCCUCCGUAAAAAAAAAAGAGCAUUUAGAUCACUAUUUCUUUACAGAGGGAGUACCAUAUACUCCUUGCGUUUUAAAAUAGAUGACUCGACUUUGUACUAACUGUAGUAUAAAGUUCUUCUCAAAAAAAAACUGUAGUAUAAAGUUCGUACAAAGUCGAGUUAUCUAUUUUGGAACAGAGGUAGUAACUUAUAACCGGUUUUGUGUCUGCAGAAAAUCCGUAAGUACAUUGCUUUUGAGCUCAACACCCGAGGGUGGUUGCAUUGGCGAUGGGUGACGGGCACAACACCAAUUCAGGCAUAUGACACUACACCUGACGAGCGCGUCUAUUUUUUAAAGGCGGGAUGUGUUAUCGUUUUAAGGCUGACCUCAAGACAGGAAUAGCUUAUCAAUUGUUUUCGGUGCUCUUUAGUAUUCAUCUAAGCAUGAUGGUUGUACUGUCGAAUUCCAUGUCUUCAGUUUAGUCGGUUUGGGACAUCAAGUUAUUAGUUUAUAUCAUAAAGAAUCAGCUUGUAACGACGAAAAGGGCAGACCAAACCCAAAACCCUUUCGGGUCGAAAAGAUCCUUUAUUUUUUAGUUGUUUCGGAUUGAAAAGAUCCGUUAGUGUCUCCCCUCCGCUGGGCUAGUAGAGUGGUAAAUAUCGAACUAGAAGGAUUGGGUGCGCUUUGCUGCACCGUUGAUAUUGUUGGGUUUUCAUAAUUUUUUUACUUCAUCUAUUUUAAAAUAUCAUGUGUAUUAGUUUUUGAGAAAUCAAACCUCUUUAAG
rnacentral:lncRNA from 1 species